GACGAACGCUGGCGGCGUGCUUAACACAUGCAAGUCGAACGGAAAGGCCCUGCUUUUGUGGGGUGCUCGAGUGGCGAACGGGUGAGUAACACGUGAGUAACCUGCCCUUGACUUUGGGAUAACUUCAGGAAACUGGGGCUAAUACCGGAUAGGAGCUCCUGCUGCAUGGUGGGGGUUGGAAAGUUUCGGCGGUUGGGGAUGGACUCGCGGCUUAUCAGCUUGUUGGUGGGGUAGUGGCUUACCAAGGCUUGGACGGGUAGCCGGCCUGGGAGGUGACCGGCCACAUUGGGACUGAGAUACGGCCCAGACUCCUACGGGAGGCAGCAGUGGGGAAUAUUGCACAAUGGGCGGAAGCCUGAUGCACCAACGCCGCGUGCGGGAUGACGGCCUUCGGGUUGUAAACCGCUUUCGCCUGUGACGAAGCGUGAGUGACGGUAAUGGGUAAAGAAGCACCGGCUAACUACGUG
rnacentral:rRNA from 1 species